rnacentral:lncRNA from 1 species
GGGAUUGUACUCGACUAUGUUCACUGAUGAUGUUGGUGUCAAUCAUGUCAUGGUGCAAAGCAACUCCAUGUCAUGGCUAAUGGUUAGCAUCACUGAUGAUGAUGGCGGCCACACCUAGCACAGCCUCGCUUUCUCCCGGCCUAACCAUCAUCACAGACACUGAACAUCAGAAUAUUACCACAUGAAGCAGACACCAGUUUCAGAAGCAAAAUACUACACAGGA